rnacentral:rRNA from 1 species
ACUUCAGGACGGGGACAACAGUUGGAAACGACUGCUAAUACCCGAUGUGCCGCGAGGUGAAACCUAAUUGGCCUGAAGAAGAGCUUGCGUCUGAUUAGCUAGUUGGUGGGGUAAAAGCCUACCAAGGCGACGAUCAGUAGCUGGUCUGAGAGGAUGAGCAGCCACACUGGGACUGAGACACGGCCCAGACUCCUACGGGAGGCAGCAGUGGGGAAUUUUCCGCAAUGGGCGAAAGCCUGACGGAGCAACGCCGCGUGAGGGAGGAAGGUCUUUGGAUUGUAAACCUCUUUUCUCAAGGAAGAAGUUCUGACGGUACUUGAGGAAUCAGCCUCGGCUAACUCCGUGCCAGCAGCCGCGGUAAUACGGGGGAGGCAAGCGUUAUCCGGAAUUAUUGGGCGUAAAGCGUCCGCAGGUGGUCAGCCAAGUCUGCUGUCAAAUCAGGUUGCUUAACGACCUA